GACGGGGACCGCACAAGCGGUGGAUGAUGUGGUUAAUUCGAUGCAACGCGAAAACCUUACCCACCUUGACAUGUACGGAACCCUCCAGAGGACGGAGGGGUGCCCGAAAGGGAGCCGUAACACAGGUGCUGCAUGGCUGUCGUCAGCUCGUGUCGUGAGAUGUUGGGUUAAGUCCCGCAACGAGCGCAACCCUUGUCAUUAGUUGCUACAUUUAGUUGGGCACUCUAAUGAGACUGCCGGUGACAAACCGGAGGAAGGUGGGGAUGACGUCAAGUCCUCAUGGCCCUUAUAGGUGGGGCUACACACGUCAUACAAUGGCCGGUACAAAGGGCUGCCAACCCGCGAGGGGGAGCUAAUCCCAUAAAACCGGUCGUAGUCCGGAUCGUAGUCUGCAACUCGACUACGUAAAGUCGGAAUCGCUAGUAAUCGUGGAUCAGAAUGUCACGGUGAAUACGUUCCCGGGUCUU
rnacentral:rRNA from 1 species